GGCCCCCACCCCUGGGCGGCGGGUGGGGGCCAUAGUGAGAAUGAGGGGGGAGGUCCCCCCCCCUCAUUAUCUUCAUGGCCCCCACCCGCUGCCCAGGGGUGGGGGCC